GAUGAACGCUAGCGGCAGGCUUAAUACAUGCAAGUCGAGGGGCAGCAUGAUUGUAGCAAUACAAUUGAUGGCGACCGGCAAACGGGUGCGGAACACGUACACAACCUUCCAACAAGUGGGGGAUAGCCCAGAGAAAUUUGGAUUAAUACCCCGUAACAUAGCGAUGUGGCAUCACAUUGCUAUUAUAGAUUUUUCGCUUGUUGAUGGGUGUGCGGCUGAUUAGAUAGUUGGCGGGGUAACGGCCCACCAAGUCUACGAUCAGUAGCUGAUGUGAGAGCAUGAUCAGCCACACGGGCACUGAGACACGGGCCCGACUCCUACGGGAGGCAGCAGUAAGGAAUAUUGGACAAUGGACGCAAGUCUGAUCCAGCCAUGCCGCGUGAAGGAUUAAGGUCCUCUGGAUUGUAAACUUCUUUUAUAAGGGACGAAAAAAGGCUUUUCUAGGUCGUCUGACGGUACCUUAUGAAUAAGCCCCGGCUAACUCUGUGCCAGCCGCCGCAGUAA
rnacentral:rRNA from 1 species